GGGGUUGACAAGGGUUGAGUUGGCUCUAUCAUACAGCUGCGGUCAAUCAUUGGAUAGCUCGGAAGAGUUCAGUAAACUAGGCCCUAGUUGGAUGGUCCUGGGCCAUUGGUUUUUCGAUACAUUUUACGGAAGGUCUCUCUCGUGUCAUUCCUACAAAAGAAAGAAAGACACGAGUUUUUACGGAAGGUCUCUCUCGUGUCAUUCCU
rnacentral:lncRNA from 1 species